UAUGUAUGGAUUUUGGAUUGUGAAGGAUGGUCGUUAAGUUUUAAAAUAUGUUUCAUUGAGGUAUAUAUCUCCUCGGCCUUUCAAAUAUCCCAAGGGUUUCAAGGGCCUUGGAUUUUCUUCAAUCAGUCACUCAAUUUCUGUUGUUUCAAUGUGAGAUUCUGAAUAGUUGUAGCUUUUGUUGUUAGCUUUCCAACAAGAUAAUACUUGCUUGAUUUGGAGUAAGAAAGAAUUUUUGGUGAAUUUCUGAGUUUGAGGGAGUCGACUACCU
rnacentral:lncRNA from 1 species